GAUGAACGCUAGCGGCAGGCCUAAUACAUGCAAGUCGAGCGGUAAGGCUCCUUCGGGAGUACACGAGCGGCGGACGGCUGAGUAACGCGUAGGAACGUACCCCAAACUGAGGGAUAACUGCUCGAAAGAGUAGCUAAUACCGCAUGUGCUCUACGGAGUAAAGCUACGGCGGUUUGGGAACGGCCUGCGUACGAUUAGAUUGUUGGUGAGGUAAUGGCUCACCAAGUCGACGAUCGUUAGCUGGUCUGAGAGGAUGAUCAGCCAGACUGGGACUGAGAACGGCCCAGACUCCUACGGGAGGCAGCAGUAGGGAAUUUUCCACAAUGGACGAAAGUCUGAUGGAGCAACGCCGCGUGCAGGAUGAAUGCCUUCGGGUUGUAAACUGCUUUUAUCUGUGACGAAUAUGACGGUAGCAGAUGAAUAAGGAUCGGCUAACUCCGUG
rnacentral:rRNA from 1 species